GUGUGUGUGUGUGUGUGAGAGAGAGAGAGAGAGAGAGGAGGCGGGGCGGUGGUUUUGGGGUUUGGGAUUCUGGAUGCGGUCGAUGCUGCCUUACCCCGUGAAGACGCUGCGAAAGGAACCAAUCAAGCCCUCGUGUGAUGGAACCCUACUUUCCCUCAGAUUUGCAAUUUCUGCAUAUGCUAGAUUCUCUUUGAGAUACAAAGGUAUGAGAAUACAGGAUUUACUGUUAAUGGUGUAAAGUAUGAGCGCAGCUUGCUUAUUGUGGAGAAUAAACUAAUGAUAUGGCACCAAAAACAUUUUCUGAGAUAGCUACUGAAAGGUCAAUCUUUUCUGUACUGAGAUUCUCUCCUAGCUUGAUGAUGAGCCUUCUUUGCCUUUGCAAAUGAAGACAGUCGUGUUGCGAUUGGCGAACAAAGCAUACGAUCUCCAGUCACUCGGAAGUUGGUUUCAUUCGGAGUGUUUGAAGAUGAUCUGGUCAAUCUUUUUUGUACUGAGUUUUUCUUCUAGUUUGAAGAUGAGCCUUCUUUGCCUUGGCAAAUGAGGACAGUCAUGUUGCAAUUGGCGAAGCAUACGUUCUCCAUUGACUGCCAAGCUGGUUUCAUUCUCGGGUGUUUACUUCAAUCAAAUGUUUCUCCUCUCGUUGUCAUCUUUAUACACGCUUGAACCCAUUUAAUUUUUGACUACCUUUGAUUGCAAUC